GCCACCGCCACCGCCGCUGUAAACGGUGGUGUUGGUAAAUCUGUGGUGAGUUAUUGGGGGGUUCCUCCUUCAAAGGCUACUAAACCAGAUGGUACUGAAUGGAAAUGGAAUUGUUUUAGGCCAUGGGAGACUUAUGAAGCUGAUAUGUCGAUAGAUUUGACGAAACACCAUGCGCCUGUAACGUUUUUGGAUAAAUUUGCUUAUUGGACUGUUAAGAUCCUUCGUUUCCCCACUGAUGUAUUUUUUCAGAGGAGAUAUGGUUGCAGAGCAAUGAUGUUAGAGACAGUGGCGGCGGUGCCUGGAAUGGUGGGAGGUAUGUUGUUGCAUUGUAAGUCAUUGAGGCGAUUCGAACAGAGUGGUGGAUGGAUCAAAGCUCUGUUAGAAGAAGCUGAAAACGAGAGGAUGCAUUUGAUGACUUUCAUGGAAGUUGCAAAGCCAAAUGUAUACGAACGUGCUCUGGUUUUCGCAGUGCAAGGCGUCUUCUUCAACGCUUACUUUGCUGCAUACCUUAUUUCCCCAAAAUUGGCUCAUCGUAUCGUCGGAUAUUUGGAA
rnacentral:misc_RNA from 1 species